UACAGAGGGGGCAAGCGUUAUUCGGAAUUAUUGGGCGUAAAGGGCGCGUAGGCGGCCUGGCAAGUGGAAGGUGAAAUCUCCGGGCUUAACCUGGAAACUGCCAUUGAUACUAUAGGUCUUGAAUAUUGUGGAGGUUAGCGGAAUAUGUCAUGUAGCGGUGAAAUGCUUAGAUAUGACAUAGAACACCAAUUGCGAAGGCAGCUGGCUACGCAUAUAUUGACACUGAGGCUCGAAAGCGUGGGGAGCAAACAGG
rnacentral:rRNA from 1 species